rnacentral:rRNA from 1 species
GCGCACGGGUGAGUAACACGUAUCCAACCUGCCGUCUACUCUUGGACAGCCUUCUGAAAGGAAGAUUAAUACAAGAUGGCAUCAUGAGUCCGCAUGUUCACAUGAUUAAAGGUAUUCCGGUAGACGAUGGGGAUGCGUUCCAUUAGAUAGUAGGCGGGGUAACGGCCCACCUAGUCUUCGAUGGAUAGGGGUUCUGAGAGGAAGGUCCCCCAUAUUGGAACUGAGACACGGUCCAAACUCCUACGGGAGGCAGCAGUGAGGAAUAUUGGUCAAUGGGCGAGAGCCUGAACCAGCCAAGUAGCGUGAAGGAUGACUGCCCUAUGGGUUGUAAACUUCUUUUAUAAAGGAAUAAAGUCGGGUAUGGAUACCCGUUUGCAUGUACUUUAUGAAUAAGGAUCGGCUAACUCCGUGCCAGCAGCCGCGGUAAUACGGAGGAUCCGAGCGUUAUCCGGAUUUAUUGGGUUUAAAGGGAGCGUAGAUGGAUGUUUAAGUCAGUUGUGAAAGUUUGCGGCUCAACCGUAAAAUUGCAGUUGAUACUGGAUAUCUUGAGUGCAGUUGAGGCAGGC